GAGUUUAUAAGUUUUAAUAACGAAACCGCACCGUCCGAAGGACCCUUAACGCACCAUGAGCGGGUCAAAAAGGCAGCUUCCUCAAAAACAGCAGGACAGCAGCGGGUUCACAUGGUUAAGAGUUGACAGCUCGAAGGGAAUAGACGUGUUUCUUCUCUCUCCGUGUCCGUGACCGUCCCUUUUCCAGACGCCCAGGUGAGUUCUUCAAGUUUCGGUAGGUGACGUCGGAAGGCGUUGUCAAGUGGAGAUAGCGACGGGGGGUGGAAACGUUAAAGCAACUGAGAGAGCUUUCUAUUCUUUACACCUGAAGACUUAGGAUAUAAUUUAAUAGGGAAACACUAUGAAAUAUUAAGUUCAAACUGUGUUGUCCUAUUGUGGGUAUCUAAAGGUAUUUGAAGUCUGUCGGAUAGCCUCCAUGAUCCAGCUGAUUUCCCAUGACCGCCUCCAGGAUUUAAUAAAGUAAAUAUUUACUCAGUCAGAUGAGGACACUCAUGCUGAAUGAUAUUUCUGUUUUACAGCUGCGGUCUGGUUUUAUUGAUCUAAUGUAAAUAUAUCAUUAUGUCUUGUGGAGAUAAACUGGUAUUCAUACUCUCUUUCCUUUCUUGUUUAACAUUAAUGUGACAUUUCUGCAUAUCCCAUAAAUAACAUACGGUGGCUCUUAACCCUAGAACACUAUCGGUAGAAUUAGUAACACCAUCACUAUCGUCGGGUGAUUUUUACCCAAAAUACACCCAAGAAAAAGUACUUCUUAUCAAAAUCGGACAAUACAUGAGAAAUUAAAGUAGUUUUCUUAUAUUUUUAAGUGUGUAAUGUCCAAAGGGAGGGGGAAAAGUACCGCGAGGGGACCAUUUAAGAAUACAACAAAAUAACUGAAAUUAGGCAUUCAUCAACUAAAAUUCAUAUAUACAUAUAUAUACACCAAAAUAUGUCAGAUUUUGAUCAAGUAAAAAUGAUGAUGAUGACUACAAUAUUCAGAUUCAGAUUCAGACAACUUUAUUUAUCCCCUAAGAACAAUUCCGUUCACAGUUACCCUGCCGUUUGAUCCAUCCAAACACACAGAUCAGCAGACAAACAAACCAGACAAUGCAAGACAUUAAAAGCAGCCAGUAGACAACCACAUUCCCUUGUCAGUACUCACAGAUCAGCAGGAUCAGCAAUAAAUAGCUAAAUAAGUACAAUAAGCGGUCAAGUUCCACAGAGCAAUGGUUUAAAUACAAUAAGAUAUUUCUUAUCACCAUAUGAAUUCCCUUGAAAAUCACUACUUUGUGAUAGUUGGGAUUCAUAACCACAACUCUAAAUAGAGAUAGCAUGCAAAUUCCAGGACCACUCUUAAUUUCCCUUAUUCCCUACAUGCAGCUAUCAAAUCCACCCAAACCUACUUAACCUCUAUCACUAUUGCCGGGUGAAACACCUUGUGAACACGUGCCUGUAGGAAAAAGCAGGUUUUGGAUCAGGGAAACAAAUAUAUCCUUCAAAGAUGUGAAAGGAAGUGCUUAAGCUACCCAGGGACUCAUGGUACUUAGACAAAAGCAACAUCAUGAAAAUCACGUAAACAUGUUUGGUCGGGCGAAAAUCACCCGAGGAUAGUGUUCUAGGGUUAAAGUGUAAUCUCUGAUGGAAGUAAACCUACCACUCAUAUUUGACACCUGUUGCAAGCGGUGCGUAAAUUGUAAAGUAUAAGGUACCGGCACACUGGAACAUUUAUAGAAAACGUGCUGAAAACAACAUGUAAAUGCCCACUUGCCACGCUGUGGGACUUACAAGCCUCGAUUUCAAAUAAUAUCCACAGUAUAAAUGUUAAUUUAGACGAUAAUUUACCAUUAUUUUGGGCAGUACAGGCAAACGCCCUCAUACUUACAGGUGUGACUUACAGAAAACAGUUAGCAAUUAAUUCCUCAACAGGUGUAACGUUGAAAAAAAGAGCUUUUAAUGAAUCACUUCUAUAAUUAUUAUUAUUCAAAGAUAGGCACGGCGGCCUGUUAACAGUUUGCUCACCAUGCUCUGAAUCCUCCUGCUGUAGACCAGCAGAUGUCGCGGUUCCCGCCUCUUGCUCCGGCUGUUAUACCGGGCUAACUGAUGCCAGGGUACCCGCCUGUUGCUGCGGCUGUUGGGGGUCCACCUGGCUCCUGCUCCGGCUGGCGGUGAACCCGGUUAGCUGUUGCGGCGCUAGCCUCCUGAGGUAGCCGGUGUUGACCGGUAACAUGACCGCUGCAGCUGCCCUCGUCGCCGCUUGUGGAGGCUUCUCUGGGUGUUUUUUAAGUGUCAUGCAACUCUUCCUUCUUCUUGAAAACAGACAGCAAAUUUAACUGUCUUUUUGACAUUUGUGCUGAAAUAGUAACCGUGUUUUCCUCUUCGCUUGCCCCUCAGGUGUGGCGAAUUUCAAAUUUUUUUCAGCUGUGUCAGGGGGCGUGGUUCUGUGUCAGGGGGCGCGGCUUGUCCAGUGCGGCAACAGAUGUCCCAUUUCAAAUGACGUUAAAUCUUAAUAAACAACAUGAAAUUCUUGGAAUUUGGACUGUAAAUUGA